AAUUAUCACUCUCCUCCUUCUCACAUAGGGAACUGAGGUGCAGAGACGUUGUUAAAUCCCAUGUCUGGGAUCACACAGCUGAGAGCUGCAGAACCUUAUCUGUUUCCUGAGUCUGACUGGACACUGAGAUUUGGCAGCUGAAGCCACAUAUUCAGUAUCGUCUCCAUCCCCUAAGCCUGCCGAGGUGCAGAGAACACAGUAGCUGCUUCAUAAACGGCUGUAAAAGCGGAGAUUGCAAGAUUGCUCCAAACCCGUGGAGGCCGAUCAGUUUCCAGUACAUACGAGACAGGGUCUCAUGUUGGCUCGGAGAUUGGCUGCGCGUAGGCUCAGUAGACUGGACGGCAAGCCCCAGGAAUCUCCUAAAUGACCUGAGCUGUGUCAACCAGCACCACAUGUCUCCUGGGGUUCAGAUGAAACUCUCUGCUUUUGUUUCAUUGCUUUAAGGAGACGCUAUCCCAGGAUGGUCUUGAACUCACAGAGCUUUCUUCCUCAGCCUCCUAAGUGCUAGGAUGACAGAUUCCACAUGGCACUGGGAUUUGCCUAAUUCCAUAUGGAAGGAGUUUAUUAAAGGCGGUUUUACACUUGUGCUCAUCUCGUCGUGGCCUCCGAGUGCAAGAAUUACAGCCAUCCAGCCUGGUGCCCAGCCUUUGACACGGUUGUUAAGGUGGAACAAGGUAAAGUCCAGAGAAAGGUUCUGGUUGACAAGAACCGCCUAAGCCAGCCACCAAAGAGACCAGAGCCGCUGUGACAAAUCACUGUAAACCAAGGAAAUUCCAACAACCAGCAAUUACUUCUCCCAGCUGCAGCAGGCUCAAGUGGACAGCUGAGAGGAAGCAAGUGCUCUGCCUCUGAGGAGAGCACUCAUCCCAUCUGGAAGGAUGCACUCUCCCAGAAGGUUCACCUCCAUGUACAGUGCUUCUCAACCCAGCACUCAGUCUGUGACAUCUGUGAUGUCAUGGAGAAGAAUGAGUAGCCUCCCCUGAUGCUUGAAAUAAACACGACUCAGAGGCAAACCUCCAAUGGCUGUCAAUACGUACAGAAUGAAGGUGAAUCUGGAAGCAUCUAGAUGGCUAAGUCUAACAGUAGGGUUAGGACCAGCAAUUAAAGAGAGGGAGGACCCACCCCUCACCACUCUCAACCCCACAAGGUACCAAUUGCCCAUAUCUCCUGAUAAAAACAACUCUUUGGUGCCCUUUGGGAGCAUGCAAUCAAAGUCCUCAUUGGAGUGGCUCAGUGUGAGGGCUGUUGC
rnacentral:lncRNA from 1 species